rnacentral:tRNA from 1 species
CCCAGUGUGGUGUAGUGGUUUGUGCUUUGGACUAUGGCUCUGGAGACCAGGGUUCGAAUCCCUUCUCAGACA